rnacentral:rRNA from 1 species
UCCCAAACUGGGAUUAGAUACCCCACUAUGCUUAGCCCUAAACCUUAAUAAUUUUAACAACAAAAUUAUUCGCCAGAACACUACAAGCAACAGCUUGAAACUCAAAGGACCUGGCGGUGCUUUACAUCCGUCUAGAGGAGCCUGUUCUGUAAUCGAUAAACCC